GACGAACGCUGGCGGCGUGCUUAACACAUGCAAGUCGAACGGCGCGGCGCACGGGUGAGUAACCCGUGAGUUACUGCCCCCCUCUCUGGGAUCACAGUUGGAAACGGCUGCUCAUACCGGAAAGUGGGGGAUGACUCGGGUCCUAUCAGCUUGUUGGUUGGGUAGGGGCCUACAAAGGGGACGACGGGUAGCCGGCCUGAGAGGUGGACCGGCCACCUGGGGCUGCGAGACGGCGCAAUAGGGUACGGUAGGCAGUAGUGGAGAGUAUUGCACAAGGGGGGAGAGUGUGAUGCAGCAACGCGCGUGCGGAAUGACGGGCUGCGAGUUGAAAACCGCGUUCAGACAUGACGCGGUAGUGGCAGAAGAAGCAACGGCUAACUACGUGCCAGCAGCCGCGGUAAUAC
rnacentral:rRNA from 1 species